rnacentral:tRNA from 1 species
AGCCACCUUAGCAUAGUGGUAGUGCAUCUGACUUGUAAUCAGAAGGUCGGGGGUUCGAUCCCCCCAGGUGGCUU